AACGAACGCUGGCGGCGUGCCUAACACAUGCAAGUCGUGCGAGAAAGUUCCUUCGGGAGCGAGUAAAGCGGCGCACGGGUGAGUAACACGUAGGUAACCUGCCCCCCAGUCUGGAACAACUAGAGGAAACUCUAGCUAAUGCCGGAUGAGACCACGAUCCCUUCGGGGGUUGCGGCCAAAGAUGGCCUCUACUUGUAAGCUAUCGCUGAGGGAUGGGCCUGCGGCCAUUAGCUUGUUGGUGAGGUAACGGCUCACCAAGGCUGUGAUGGCUAGCUGGUCUGAGAGGAUGACCAGCCACACUGGGACUGAGACACGGCCCAGACUCCUACGGGAGGCAGCAGUGGGGAAUAUUGCGCAAUGGGCGAAAGCCUGACGCAGCGACGCCGCGUGGGUGAUGAA
rnacentral:rRNA from 1 species